AGAGUUAUGGUGUAGUGGUUAUCACGUCUGCUUUACACGCAGUAGGUCCUGGGUUCGAUCCCCAGUAGCUCUA
rnacentral:tRNA from 1 species